rnacentral:tRNA from 1 species
AGGCUUGUAGCUCAGGUGGUUGGAGCGGACCCCUGAUAUGGGUGAGGUCGGUUGUUCAAGUCCACUCAGGCCUACCG